GGGAGCAUAGCUCAGCUGGGAGAGCAUCUGCCUUACAAGCAGAGGGUCAUAGGUUCGAACCCUAUUGUUCCCACCA
rnacentral:tRNA from 5 species